rnacentral:rRNA from 1 species
GUUAAAAAGCUCGUAGUUGGAUUUCGGUUGAGAGCGGCCGGUCCGCCGUUUGGUGUGCACUGGCUGGUUUCAGCUUCCUGCAGAGGACGCGCUCUGGGCUUAAUCGUCUGGACGUGGAGUCUGCGUGGUUACUUUGAAAAAAUUAGAGUGUUCAAAGCGGGCUUACGCUUGAACAUUUCAGCAUGGAAUAACACUAUAGGUCUCCUGUCCUAUUUCGUUGGUCUCGGGACGGGAAGUAAUGAUUAAGAAGGACAGUUGGGGG